AAGGAUUCAUUUAAUUUUUUUUCCUCCCAUUGGAAUGGAUUUGCACCUUCUGGACUAGUCCCUUCAUGGAACAGCUACAAGGAAGCUGAAAGGACAAUUGCUUUUGAGAAGUCUACAAUACCUUGGCAGCUGGAAUUCCAUCAGAUAAGCAAUAUUUGAUUAAUAUUGGACACUAGGAGGAGACAAAAUGGGAUAGUAUGGACAUAUUGGAAAAGCACUCACAAGAGCUACUCAUGGAUUUGCAAUAUUCCAGCAUGGGUUGCCAAUGCUGCAUUAAAAUAAUGCCUCAAAAGCAAUUCCUUAGACCCAGUCCAUGAUAAGCUGAUGAGCCACCCCCUCCUCCAUCCCACAUAUCUCCUUCAGUGAUAUUUCCACCCAUUUCCUCUAUCACCAGUAGCUCGAGCAAGGUUAGUUCAAACAAAUUUAAAGCAGGAAUAAGUAUUGCCAAUUCAAAUCAUGGGUGUUCCAGUCUGUCCCUGGGACUGUCCCCAGGGCAGGGAUCCCUUGCUGAAACAGGUCAUUUCCUCUCUCUAGGUGAAAAGAAUCAGGUGAGUGGUGAUAAAGAAAAGGCAGGAUAAGGAUCCCAAAGGGCAGAAUCAGGAAGCAAGAAAAAUGUUUGCAGAGCAAGGAAGGCAUUCAAGAUUUUGCAUUUCUUGUCUCAUUGCAUUUGACUCCAAAUCCUGCCACAGCCUUCCAGGAGGAGGGGGAAGGGCAGGGGCUGAUUUGCAUCUUAUGUUACUGCUGACAGUAGGAGGUCUUAAUUGGGGCACCAAAGAGCAGGUGUAUGCUAACGUUAAUCUUCCCUUUCACCUGUCACUCAUGCAAUGAAUGUGAUCUCUCCCUCUCAUUAGCAGCCCUCUGUCACAUGCUGGGGAGCUUUGGAAGGGUCCCUCUGAAACUUGUUGGGAUUGAUUUUCCUGCCCGUGCUGCGUUAUUAUUGCCAGACCCCGGCCAAGCGCUCCCAGGGAACACAUCUGCCCGGUGGAGUUCAAUCUUUGGAGACUUAAAGCGCUCACUCAAAUGCACUGAACAAGAGGAAUGCUUCAGCUCCAAUCAGCUCCCAUCUUCUUUGGAAAUGCUGGCCUUGAGGACCAAGAGCAUCCCUCUCUCCCUUCACUACACCGCUGUUCCUUUGUCUCCAAGUGGAAUCAAAAAUGUUUUUUGGACUUAACAAUAAGAGGCAAAAAUAUGAUGUAGGAGACAAAACCUUUCAGUUGAUGCACUGAAACAUUUUUAACUAUACAAAUGAUGGAAGCUGCAUCCACGAGAAAACCAGAGAAGACUUCUGAAACAAUAUGAAGCCAACAGGAAAAAAAAAAGAAAAUAUCCCCAUUCCUGGUGGACGCCUGUUUCUUUAAGCAGCUGUUUCUUGUCUCUGAGUGUUAAUUAGACUGAUGUGGAUGAUUUAAUACCACUCACACUGAUCUUCAAGCCUAAACCCAGACCUUCUCAGAGCCCAGCAUUUGCAGCUCUACCUAAUAAUGGCAACCUGUGAUCCCAGUCUGUGCUGCACAGAUGACUAAGAACAUAAAGUUCUCAGUCUCUCCACAAUUUGGAAGCAGAUAAAUAAGGAUUUCUGCACAAGUGUACUAUGACAAAGGACAAAAAGGAAGGGAAGAUUGAGUGACGUACUUCAGGAGAAGGCCAGCCCCUGGAGAGACCCUGCAGUGGAGUACUUGCUAGAGUCCACAAAAGACUGGUCUGAUAAAGGACGACAACAGGGAAUAAGAGAGGAAAGAAAGAAAAAGGACGGUAUUAGUAAGCUGAAAUAUUACUAGUGUUUAUCAAAACAGUAGGUCUGUGCUUUAGAGGACACAGCCUCUCAAUUCAGCAGUGUUAGCUGGGUUAGAGGUUGGGUGGUUGCCAAACACCUGCAGGCCACAAGGUGGGCUGGGGUGGAGUCAGGUACUCUCUACAGGAGGAAGCUUUAGGACAGAGCCCACCAGGGAUCCCCCAUUGCCUUCACUCCCAUGGGGCAGCUCGGAGGCUCCAGGAGCUCACAGCUGGAGCAGCCACCUCCUGAGCAGCCUGGGCUCAGCCUGGUUCCACCUACCUUGCAGG